GGGCCCCCUCCCUGCGCGCUCCUGGCGGCCCCUGCUGCCAACGCGCCCCACCACUAAGGGACCCUCACCCCAAGGCCCGACCCCUGCAGCCCCUCUUGCGAACACUCCGGGAUCCCUCGAUGCUCUGGGCCUCCCUAGCAGUAACUAACCACCAACUGCCCCCUCCCCAGGAGCCCGGGCCGCACACCCUCUGGAUGGCCUCUCCCCGAGACCCUAACCCCGCCACGCUCCUUCACCGCUGAACGUGGUCAGUCCGAGCGCAGUUACCUACCCAGACCGUUCCCUCCCCUAGCUCGGGCGCUGUCUGGGUGGACUGGGGGUUGGGAUGGUUCGGACGACAGCGGCGGAACAGCAGGAGCCGAGAGGGGCAGAGAGGGGCAGGAACUACAGGGCUCUAGAGGGCACCUGGGCCUCGGACACGCGGCCGCUCAGGGCUGUGCUUGACCCAGUGGAGGUGGCCCGGCCGGUGGCUCCAGAAAGGGGGAGGGGGCACCCCUCCCCGGGCGUGGCCUUCGCAGGCCAACGGGCCCAAUUGCCUGGGGCGAGGCCGUGGAGACCCGGACUGGCGCCGGCGCCAGCUGGAGGGAGACGCCCCCGGGCAAGAGCUUACGAUUCUUCAUCAACUCGUAAAAUGAGAUCGCCGCGGAGCUCGAGCCUAUUUGGCGUCUCCGGAGACUAGCAAGACCCUCUGAAAGACACCGCGUCCCCAGGGAUAAUCCCCCGUGUCCGGCAAAGCUGCCCCGCUCGAGCGCGAACCCUGGGACCCAGCGCGGGAGGCAGACCAGCAGCUGGCCGCUGGGCUGUGAACGCCAGGACCGAGCGGAAGCUUCCCGCCCGGCCGCGAUCGGUGCCGCGGCUCUCAGGGAAGUGGCUACGCGCGUCCCUCGGGAAAGCAGAGUAAUUUGCCUGUUUCUGGCAAAUCUGAAGAUUGGAAUGCCACACGGCCCAGCCAUUCCUUUUCCAGGCAUAUGAGAAGCCCUCACACAUGAGCAAGAAAGAGAUGUGGCCAAAGACAUUCAUGGAGCCCUGUUUGUUAAAACAGAGAAAAAGAAAUUAAGAAAUACCCAGCCUGGGCAACAUAGGGAGACCCUGUCUCUACUAAAAAUAAAAAUUUAUACUUGGGAGGCUAAGGCAGGAGGAUCACUUGAGCUCAGAAGAUCGAAGCUUGCAAUCAGCUGUGAUCGUGUCACUGCAUGCCAGCCUGGGUGACAGAGAGUGAGACCCUGUAUCAAUAAAGAAAGAAAGAAAGAAAAGAAACAGAAAUAAACUUAGGACACAGCAGACGGCCCAUCCUGAGGGUACCACAUAGCAGAUGCUGGGACCUUUUUUCAGGUGGACGCCACAUGACCUUUCCUUUGCAGGCAUCCAUGCUGAUGUUCACAAGGCACACAGCAUUUCAGCUGAAGAAAGAACUGGCAGGAUUUUCAUCACGAAAGGGCACUGUCUAUCGUUUAUGAAAAUGAAGCAUAUGAAGUAAAAGUUUGGAAACAGAUGGAAUUAAAUCUUCUGACAGAUUUUAAAAUAAGAUCUAAAAAAGAGCAAGACAUGCUCUUGGAUGGGGAAACUUAAUAUCAGAAAAAUGUCAAUUUUCCCAUUUUUUCCAUAUAAAUUUAAUGUAAUUCAAAUUCCAUUACCAACAGGGUGAUUUUUUAAAAAACUAGAUAAAAUGAUCUGAAAGAUUAUGCAGCAGAAUAAAUGCCCAAGAAUUACCAGGGAAGACUGGAAAAAAGACUGCUGUGGGGGUUUUGCCUUCCUGGAAAUAAGACCAUACUGCAAAGUCACUGUAAUCAGAUCAAUAUGGCAUUGGCAGAGGACUAGACAAUGGAAAGGAAUGGAGAAUACAAAAAUAAGUUUCAGGAUAUAUGAGAAUGAGAUAUAUGCCAAAGGUAGUAUUUUGAUUCGGUGGGAGAAGGGCAGACUGUGAAGUAAGUGGUACCAGCCACAACUGAAUAUCCAUCUGGGAUAAAAUAAAAUUGCACUCGUCUUAGAGAUCCAAAUCAACUUCAGAUGGAUUAAAACUUUGAAUGUAAAAAACAUAAAUGACUAACAGUCCUGCAAAAUAUCUUGGAGACAACCUGUGCCAUCUGGAGAGUGGGAAGAGCACAUGCAAAGGCCAAGGGGUGGAGCAGCCCAGCAUGUUCUGGAAAAGGUAGGGCUCCCCAAGGCUGGGAUGAUGGUGGAGACCUGGGUGUGUGGGAGCACAGGGGUGGGGGCCCGUGGGCCAGGAAUGCACAGAGAGGGGCUGGUGCUCUGCCGCAGGCCCAAGCCCCCAAAGCCCGGUCAUUCCCAGCACCAUCUUCACGGGUUUCUGCCCAGGUCUUUCUGCUGCAUCUCUUCCUCCCCCGAUUCCUUAAUCAUUUUUUUUAAAAUCAGUUCAUGUCUUUGUAAACCAAAUUAUUUCUAAAAGGCAAAUUUAUAUUACUGCCGAAAUCAAGGGUCAGUGAGCUAGUUGUGUAUGUUCUGAAUCACAUGGAAAUAAAUGCAUCGAACAUUAAGAAGGAAAGAGUGUCUAGCGUUAGCUACCUUGGUGUGCUGGGCUCAAUGUGCAUUUUGGAAGUUGCCCUGCCACCUUGUGGGCAGGAGGGACUGGAUGAGUAGGGAGUCGGAGUGAGCAUGAAGGUGACCAGAAAGUCCAUUCCUUAGAAAGUGAGGAGGUGGCAGCCAGGGUCCAGGCCUGGGCCCUGCCUGCCCCCUCCUCACACACCAGCCUCCCGUCUGUCAUUCUAGAACCUGACCACUUCCCGCCUCAACAAGCAGCCGGCCUGGUCCUAGCUCUCGCCUGGACUACUGGAAUAGCCUCCUUGCUGGAAGUCCUCAACUUCCCCACUUUCUGUUCAUAGUACAGUGGCCGGCGGGGGCCCGUGAGGAUAGAAGUCAGGCCAGGUGCAGUGGCUCACGCGUGUAGUCCCAGCACUUCAAGAGGCCAAGGUGGGUGGAUUGCUUGAGCCCAGGAGUUCAAGACCAGCCUAGGCAACACAGUUAAACCCCAUCUCUACAGAAGAUACAAAAGUUAGCUAGGCGCAGUGGCGCACGCCUGUAGUCCCAGCUACUUUGAAGACUGAGGCGGGAGGAUCACCUGAACCCAGAAGGUCAUGGCUUCAGUGAGGCUGAUUGUGUCACUGCACUCCAUCCUGGGCAACAGAGUGAGACCCUGUCUCAAACAAAAACAAAAAAAGAUGUAAGUCAAACCUGUCCCAUCUGCGCCACACCCUCCCGCAGCACCCGGGUCCCUCUUGGCCUCUUUGGUCUCAUUCCCUUUGCUUGCUCCACUCCAGCCCCACUGGCUUCCUUCUUGUUUCUCAAACAGCUGGCACACAUCCACCCCAGAACAUUGGCACUAGCUGUCCCUGUACCCAGAUACCACAUGGCUUCCUCAUACUUUGGGCCUGGUCACCUUCUUGGACCACCUCCUGAUGAACUGUGGGUGACAGCUGGAGCACAGGUGGGUUCUGGAAGCCCUGCAGCCUGGGGUCAGGAUGAAGAUUACCCAGGGCCAGCAGGCAAGCCUGAGAGGCCGGUCUCCAGGCUUUGCAGCUCCCGGCAAGAGGUCCCAGAGGUCUUGCCCUUCCAGAGAUGAAUGCUUGAGGCCCAGAACAUGGGGCCAUCCGGAGCCAAGGCCUGGGAUGUUAGAGGAGGGGAACUCGGGACUCCAUGCAAGGACCACGGGUCAGCCCUGUGCCUGUCCAGACCACCUGCAUGGGACACAGCAGGGGCCCAGAACUGGGCAUCCAGUGGAUCACUGCAGCAGCAUCUGUGUGUCCAUAUCCAGGUAGCCGCACCCAGAUUUUCCCUCCAGGGACCACCCCCUCCCACUCUCAGUUCAAGGUGGUCCAUGUGGAGCACCCACCUCUGGCCCAGCCAGUCAGAGCCAUCCUGGCUGAUUGAUUCUGGGCACAUGACUCUGGAGGAUCCAUGGAGAGUCCAACCUGGAAACUUGGCAAGAAUCCUCGGGGACUGCCCUCCUGCUGGGGUCAUGUGGCACUGGGAGCUGCGGUGGCCAUCUUUACUGCCACCCAGGAGAGCCUGCCGGAGAGUGAGACCAACACAGAGCAGCAGAGACAGAGACAGACUGGCUCCCGAGCGUUCAGCCCCAGUGCCGGAAGCCAGCUAGAGCCCUGGCCUUUUCAGUGACAUGAGCCAAUGACAACUCCCAGUUCUCUCCCUCCGGUCAAUCUGAAGCCGGGUUUUUGCCUCUUACAACUGAAAGAGUCCUGGUGGUCACAGGCAUGGCUGAUUAAAGAUGCCCACCAGGUCUUUGUUACACCCUCAUAUACUUGGGGCCUUGAAUGUGGGUGUGCUCUGAGAUGACUUGACCAGGAGAAUACGGUAGCAGUGACACUGCAGUUUCCAGCCCAGGCCUGAAGAGAUGAUUAGCGCCCACUCCUUGCUUCUUGAAAGUCUCUCCUUGGGAGUCCUGGGCUGCUAUGUUAAAAAUCCAACUGCCCUGAGGCCACCAUGAUGUGAGGAGGCUGGAGCCAGGUGGAGAGGCCAUGGUGGCGAAAGAGCUGCCGGACCAGUUCCCAUUGCCCCAGCCCCCAGCCAUCUGAGUCAUCCCCACUGAGGACACAGAUAUCACAGAGCAGAUACGAGCUAUCCCUGCACCGCCCAUCCAGAUUCUUUACCCAGUUUGUGAGAUAUAAUAAUAAUGAACUGUUUUAGGCCACUGAGUUUUGGGGUCAUUUUUAAAGCAGCAAUAGACAGAUGGAACAAUAGUAAUGAGCAAAGGGCCACAUAUACCUAUUGGAUUGGGAAGCAAGACAGAGAUGGGGCUGCCACUGUGCGCAGGAUCGACUCACCUCCUUGGGAAUUCUUAUACACGCCCGUAUGAGUGCAGGAUGCAUGAGUAGGAUAGUGGAGCCGAAAGGGUCUUGAUAGCAGAUGGCCUUGAAUUUGAGUCCCUACUCUGCUGUAAGAUCAGCUCUGAGUCCCAGGGCUAUGUUAUUUCCCCUCCUCGAGCCUCAGUUUCUUCACCUAUCAUAUAAAAAUAUUAGUACUGUGUUGCUAGGAUGAGAUUCAGCUGCACAUAACAAGGAGAUACAAAUUUUUUUUUCUGUCAUGUGAAAAUUCACAGGUAGGCAAUCCAGGGCUACUAUAUCACUCCCUGGUGUCAGAAAGCAAGGUUGGCUUUCGUCGCCUCACAUUCCAAGAUGGCUGUUACAGCCUCACCAUUGUAUCUACAUUCCAGGGAGCAGCAAGGAGGAAGUGAAUAAAGAACAAAAUGUUCACAUCAGCUGUCUCUUAAGGAAGUCCCCUGAAAGCUGACACAUCCACUUGUAUCCCAUUGGCUAAAGCACAGUCACAUGACCAUAUCUAGCUGCAAAGGAGGCUAGGGAAUGUAGUCUUGCUCUGGGAAAUCAUGUGCUCAGCUAAAAUUCUAUGGAGGAAUAAUAGCUUUUGGAAGAUACCUGACAGUCUCUGCCAAAAGUAUCUAUGUCAAGAGUUUAUGUAAUGACUGACGUGAUUUUGAAGAGGUUUUGUUUUGAACCUCUGCUGCAUGCCAGUUUCCACAAAACUAACUGCAAAAGACAUAAUCAGGUCUUUUGUAGGACAUGGCACAGGGGCUGACACAUAGUAGGUGCCCAGUAAAUGAGGCGUCCUUGUUUGCUCUUCUAGCUGCACACCUUGCUGCUCUCCUCAAUGGUGUUUCUCUGCCCCAACCCUCCAAGGAUGAGCUCCCUCCCCAAGAGGAUACCCUGUUUCAUUUUCUUCACAUCAUUUACCAUAACUAUUUGUUUCUUAAUUUGUUCAUCAUCCAUCUCUCUCCACUCUAAUAUACACAACACGAAGAGAGGGAGAGUAUCUCUAGGGUCCCACCAAGGAAAUAGAAGUCACUUGAAAAGUGUAAAGCUUAAUUUAAAAGUUAAAAUUCAGAGAUGUGAUUGUGCAGGUGAUGGAAUUGCUAAGAACAGGGGACAAUGAGGCAGCACAGAAAUUAGGAGCAAGAAGCUGUUACCUCCCCAGGGUUGGAGGGGCAAUGGGAGGAGAUGGCAUUACCAGAGCCCAAGGCCUGGGUGACACAGGGAGACUCAGCAGGCCUGUCCAGUGGGAGCUGUAGCUGUAGGAAAGACAGAGCCACACCAGAGAUGCCACCUGAGAUGAAGAGGAAGGGGGAGAAUACCCUGGCUCCUCCCUUGUUCACUCCAGGGCCUCUCAUUGGCUGAAUCCAGCAGGAAUCCAGCUGGCCUCACACCUUGGGGCUAAGCUCCCCUCCCUGAUGGGUGACACAGAGCCAAGGGAUGGGAUAACAAGAGCUAAGGGCAAACUAGCCCGGGGCUGGCACUGGUGACUUCAUCUGUCUUGUUAUCUUCUGCAUCUGGAGCUUCAAAGGCACAGCCUGGCACACGGUAGGACCUCAAUAAACAGUGGAUGAAUAGAUUGGGGUUCUCAACUCACCUUAGCACCUAUAGAAGCUGUUUAGAGUCCACAAAACAACUCUUGUACCUGUGAGGGCUCCUAGGUGCUAGGCCCACAAAGGGAGGCAUGUUAUGGCCGUGGCAUUCUGCUUGGCCAGGAUCCGAGAGGAGCCUCCCAAUUGGAGGAUUUAGCCCAAGUUGCUUCAUUCCCUGUCCAGUGGAGCCUGGCCUCUCUCUCAGCCUCCAUCAACACCCAGAAUCCUCCAUGAUGAGCUCCUAUCCCACCAGGGCAGAGAGUGGGCAUGUCCUCAUCAGGGAGAGAAAGGACAGAGACAGACAGACAGGAAGAGAGAAACAGCCAUGCAGCCAGGGCUGGGGCUCUGCUUGCCAUUGCCCUCUAUGCACUCUAACUGUGGCAAAACCUGUGCAAAGUACAUGGAUGCUACCAACCACUGGCAAAGGAAUAGGAAGCAUAUUCCUGUGGCCCGGCAAAUGCGUGGGGAUGGCUUCAUCCACAUCCUGCAGGAAGAAAUUAAAUUAAUUGACAGGUCCAAAUGUGAGUGGACAGGUGGGGCAGCAGGAGCUCUGCACGCCACUGGUGGGAGUGUUUUUUGGAAAGUGCACUUUGUAAGAGAAUUUGGCAACACUAACAAGGACGUGUGUACAGGUGAGCUCAGCAGUUCCCUGCACAGGUAAAAUCUCAGCAGCAUCCACUGAUAUAAACACAACCACAGUAACAACGCCUGGGAGCCACCCAGGUCCAUUCACAGGAGAAAGGAUAAAUGAACCAUGUCAUGCCCACACAAUGGAAUACUCGACAGCAAUGAAGACGAACAACAGUGUCACGCAUCAACGCAGAUGUACCUCCCAACAAUACUGUGAGAGAAAAAGGCAAGUCACCAAAGAACACGUAUGUAUGAGGCCAUUCAAAUAGCUCUUCUGGAUUUCACUCCUGGGGAUGUCAAGGACCCACUAGAGUUUCCAAGCCAUGUUCACAUGUCACCUCCUUGACUAAAGGGACAUGACCAAUAAAUGCAAUGUGGGGUCCUGAACUGGAUCCUAGAGCAGGACAGAAAUAGCUAUAAAGGACAUUCUUGGGACAAUUGACGUUUAGAUAUGGAUUGUGGGGUUCGAUCAUAGUAUCAUAUCAAUGCAAAUUGUCCUAGCUCUGAUAAGCAUAUGUGUUUAUGUAAGAGAAUGUCCUUGUUUUUAGGGAACAAACACUGAAAUAUACAAUAGUAGAGAGGCAUCAUGUCUCCACCAUACUCUCAGAUGGUUCAGGAGAAAUAUGCGUGUGUCUCCGUACAUAUUAAUAUAGAGAGAAUGGUACAGCCAGUGGGACAAGUUGUAAGCAAUUGGUGAAUCUAGGUAAAGGGUAUAUGGGAAAUUGCAUCAAAAUUAAAAGUUAUGAACAUGGGGGAGAAAACCCAGUUCUUCUAUAAAAACAGCCUCCAGCCUCUCCCUCCAGCACAACCUGUCCCCACACGUGGGGCACCCGGCACCCAUGCUCUGGCUCUUGUCUCUCUGGGUCUUAGUCCCACUUAGCACCCCACACCCAAAGGUCAUGUUUUCACAGAUGUGUACCCUCAAGACUAAACACACACUUGAGGCAUUCAUGUGACUAUACAUAUUUAUGGAAAAAGAAAAUUCUUGGGCUCACAAAACUGAACGCUCCAGGGUGGACUGUCUCAGGUGGCCUUAAUCGGGGUGCUGACAACAUCCAGACGAGCACGCAGGCUUCUCUCCCUGCCACGGCGGUGCCAUUCUCCAACGGACUCUGCCGCCGUGGCUGCAAGAUGGUGGCAGCAGCUCCAACCCCUGCACCCUUUUGUGGCCAAGUCCAGUGGGAAGAAUGUGAGGUCUUCUUCCAGAAGCUUCUGCAGAUUCUCAUUAGCUUCAGCUGGGUCAUGUGUCUGUCAUCCCUGACCUGGCCUCUGGGGUCAGGAAGGCACCAUGGUCAGACUGGCCAGGCCUGAGCCCCAAGCCCCAAGUCCAACCUCUUCACAAAGCACAGCUGGCUGGGGCAGAGCGGUGCCCCCAGUGGAAAAUCAAGAUGCAGUUUCAGAAGGAUGGAAAUGGAUGCUGGGUGGCGAAACGGCAGAAACCCACCCCGGCCCACGCCCUUGCCUGUCCAAAAUCCAUGCACAUGCUUCUUCCCAUGCUCCCUCUGGGGGAGGUGUGCUAGGCAGCACAGAUGUAUGCACAGCUCCCCACAGAUGCCACCCUCAUCCUUGGAAACUGUCAAUGCCCAUGAAUUUGUUACCUCACGUAGCAAAAGAGACUUUGCAGAUGUAAUUAAGGCUGCUCGUCAGUUGACCUUAAAAUAGGGAGAGUGUCUUGGAUCAUCCACAUGGGCUCAGUGGGUCACACAAGCCCUUAAAAGCAGAGAACUUUCCAUGGCUGGUGGCAGAGGUAGAAAGGACAUUGGAAAGAGACAGCAUGGGGGAAAGGGAGAUUUAAAGCUUGGGAAGGAAGGAUGGAAAGCGCGACUGCUGCUUUGAAAACAAAGGAAGCCUCAGGCCACGUAGCAAAGAAAUGGAGACCCCAGGCCUGCAAUCAUAAGCGACUGAAUUCUGCUCACAACCCUAAUGAGCACCUCCGGGAAAGAGCCCAGCCUGCCAACACCUCGAUUUUGCCUUGUAAGCCCCUAAGCAGAAAAUACAGUUGAGGCACUCUCUGCCCAGACUUGCAGUGCACAGAAACUGUGAUGCUAAAUGGAUGUUGCUUGAAGCUGCUCAGUUGGUGGCACUUUGUUACAGCAGCAAUGGAAAAUGAAUACUGGAGGUAACACUGUCUCUCCCAGUGACAGGUCCGGCUCCAGGAGCUGGACCCCAGUGACCGUGUUACAGUCUAGGCUUAAGGCCCCCCUCACUCCCAACCUCACCUGUGCAGAGAGGGAAGGAAAAGUGCCAUGUCAACCCCCAGUAAGGGAAAGGAGGAUGGGAGACCCCUAGCCUGCAGCACAUCCAAAGCCCUGCUAGAAAAAUACUGAGAAAUGUUAGACAUUGAGCUACCACAGGACCCAGGAUUACAACUCCUGGGUAUCUACCCAAGGCAAAUGAAAACAUGUGUCCCCAGAAAAAUUUGCACACAAUGUUCAUAGCAGCAUUAUUUAUAAUAAUUGAGAAAUGGGAAUAGCCCAAAUGCCCAUCAGCUAAUGAAUAGAUAAACAAAAUAUGGCAUAGCUAUACAAUGGAAUAUUAUAUGGCCCUAAAAAGUAAUGAAGAAGCCAGACAUAAAAGGCUUUGUGUGAUUCCAUUUCCAGACAGAAAGCAGAUUAGUAGUUGCUGCAGGCUGGCGGGAGGGAGGAAUGGAAAGUGGCUGCUAACAGGAACACGGUUUAUUCUGGGGGCAAUGAAAGUGUUCUAAACUUAGAUGUGAUGAUGGAUGUACAACUGCGUGAAUAUACUAAAAAGCAUUGAAUGGCAUUGAAUGGUUCAUCUUAAAUGGGUGAAUUUUAUAGUGCGUGAAUUAUAUAGAUAAAGAUGUAAAAGAUUUGUUUAACAUCAAUAAAGAUGUAAAAAAAAAAAUGUUGAGUUUCUUGGGCAGCCAGUUCAACUGCCCAGCCCUGCCCUCUAGGAGGAAAACGAGUACUCCCUGCCCACCCUUCACCAUUCCCACAUCUGAAGUGGGCAUUGGGGAUCUCAGUUCUCUA
rnacentral:lncRNA from 1 species